CAGCCAUCCGAACUUAAGCUUGCUGUUGGAGUUCUGGAAAGAGAUCGAAGUCAGCUCUCCGACAUUCAGAGUUGCUCGGCUUACUAUAUUGCUCCACUCUUGUUGACGGUAAUUCGAUCUCAAGCGGUAUCAUUACUUCUAUCCCAUAAGCUAAGUUGAAGGGGGAUUCCUCAGUUGGUAUACGGAGAGUCAUUCGAUACACCCA
rnacentral:lncRNA from 1 species